rnacentral:rRNA from 1 species
UGGGGAAUUGUUCGCAAUGGGCGCAAGCCUGACGACGCAACGCCGCGUGGAGGAUGAAGGUCUUCGGAUUGUAAACUCCUGUUGACCGGGAAGAAUUUCUCCGGGGUAAAUAUCCCCGGGGGGUGACGGUACCGGUUGAGGAAGCCCCGGCUAACUCUGUGCCAGCAGCCGCGGUAAUACAGAGGGGGCAAGCGUUGUUCGGAAUUACUGGGCGUAAAGGGCGCGUAGGCGGCCAACUAAGUCAGACGUGAAAUCCCACGGCUCAACCGUGGAACUGCGUCUGAUACUGGAUGGCUUGAAUCCGGGAGAGGGAUGUGGAAUUCCAGGUGUAGCGGUGAAAUGCGUAGAUAUCUGGAGGAACACCGGUGGCGAAGGCGGCAUCCUGGACCGGUAUUGACGCUGAGGCGCGAAAGCCAGGGGAGCAAACGG